UACGUAGGGUGCAAGCGUUAAUCGGAAUUACUGGGCGUAAAGCGUGCGCAGGCGGCUAUGCAAGACAGAUGUGAAAUCCCCGGGCUCAACCUGGGAACUGCAUUUGUGACUGCAUGGCUGGAGUACGGUAGAGGGGGAUGGAAUUCCGCGUGUAGCAGUGAAAUGCGUAGAUAUGCGGAGGAACACCGAUGGCGAAGGCAAUCCCCUGGACCUGUACUGACGCUCAUGCACGAAAGCGUGGGGGGCAAACAGG
rnacentral:rRNA from 1 species